rnacentral:piRNA from 1 species
UCCCUGAUUUCGCUGUGCAAAUUGAAGU